rnacentral:rRNA from 1 species
UGAGGAAUAUUGGUCAAUGGGCGAGAGCCUGAACCAGCCAAGUCGCGUGAAGGAUGACGGUCCUAUGGAUUGUAAACUUCUUUAGUAGGCGAGUAAGGAUAGGUACGUGUACCUAUUAGAAAGUAGCCUAAGAAUAAGUAUCGGCUAACUCCGUGCCAGCAGCCGCGGUAAUACGGAGGAUACGAGCGUUAUCCGGAUUUAUUGGGUUUAAAGGGUGCGUAGGUGGCUGAUUAAGUCAGUGGUGAAAAGCUAUGGCUCAACCAUAGUCUUGCCGUUGAUACUGGUUAGCUUGAGUGUAGAUGAUGUAGGCGGAACGUGUAGUGUAGCGGUGAAAUGCAUAGAUAUUACGCAGAACUCCGAUUGCGAAGGCAGCUUACAAAACUACUACUGACACUGAGGCACGAAAGCGUGGGUAUCAAACAGG